CCUGUACCAGUGCUAAUUGUUUAACCGAUGGGGUGACACAGAAGGAUAGGGAAUCGCACGAAUGGAAAUGUGCGUCCAAGCAGUGAGUGUGAGAAGUAGGCAAAUCCGCUUCUCGCGAAGCAUGAGCUGUGAUGGGGAAGGAAAUUAAGUACGGAAGUUCCUGAUUUCACGCUGUCAAGAAAAGCCUCUAGGAAGAGUAGUACUGCCCGUACCGCAAACCGACACAGGUAGAUGAGGAGAGAAUCCUAAGGUGAGCGAGAGAACUCUCGUUAAGGAACUCGGCAAAAUGACCCCGUAACUUCGGGAGAAGGGGUGCUCUAUUAGGGUGCAAGCCCGAGAGAGCCGCAGUGAAUAGGCCCAGGCGACUGUUUAGCAAAAACACAGGUCUCUGCAAAACCGUAAGGUGACGUAUAGGGGCUGACGCCUGCCCGGUGCUGGAAGGUUAAGAGGAGUGCUUAGCUUCGGCGAAGGUACGAAUUGAAGCCCCAGUAAACGG
rnacentral:rRNA from 1 species